CAGAUAAGGAUGAAGUGCUAGUAUUUUAAUCCAACACUUGAACUGAGGAUCUAAAAGUUCCAAGUGAUGUUUUUUUUUUUUCCCUUUUGCUUCUGA